CACCUGGGUGGCUGUAGUGACCCUGAGUGUGGAUUUGGGCCUGGCUGUGGGUGUGGUCUUCUCCAUGAUGACUGUGGUCUGCCGCACCCGGAGCUCCUCCAGGUCCCGGGGCUCUGCAUCCUGAGCUAUCCAACACCACUGUACUUUGGGACCCAUGGGCAGUUUCGCCGCAACCUGGAGUGGCACCUGGGGCUCGGAGAAGGAGAAAAGGAGACUUCAAAGCCAGAUGGCCCAAUGGUUGCAGGUGAGAUGGGGUGACAAGAAGGAAGAUUUGGGCAUGUUGCAUGGUGACACCUGGGUACUCCUGUCUUCUCCCAUUCUAGUUGCUGAGCCUGUCAGGGUGGUGGUCCUAGACUUCAGUGGUGUCACCUUUGCAGAUGCUGCUGGGGCCAGAGAAGUGGUGCAGCUGGCCAGCCGAUGUCGAGAUGCUAGGAUCCGCCUCCUCCUGGCUCAGUGUAAUGGGUGACCCCAGAUCAGCUGUUUGUGAGUGUGCAGGAUGCAGCUGCUUAUGCCCUGGGGAGCCUGGUAAGGGGCAGUAGCACCAGGAGUGGGAGCUGGGAGGCACUGGGCUGCGGCAAGUGAGGCAGGGGAGCUCACUGACCCAAAGAUUUGCACCGUGUGGGUCUGACCUCAUCAUGUGGAGUGCAGAGGGCCCUGAUGACAUGUGUGUGAUGAGGACCAUGACCCUUGAACCCCCUUACCUAACGUAACUAAUAAAAUGAAGCUGAGAGCUUUGGAAUCC
rnacentral:sRNA from 1 species